CGGGGUGCGGCGGGCGGGGGCAGGGCCUGGGCGCCUCGCCAGACGCCAGGGCCUACCCCGACGGUUUCAGCGCCAGCUUCUGCGUGAGGUUUGGCUGUUCACAGCCCGUACUCCAGCUCAUCUUCUGGGAACAACCCGAGGAGGCAAGCCAGUUCCUAGGUGCUGACAUCAGACCUCUACCCUUCAGUCAGGAGAAGAAACCAGACCAACCAAAAGCAAAGAAGAGCUUAAAACAAUGGUCUCAGGGGUUCUCCAACUCACAGCCUACCCAGAUACCCAACAGUAAAAGAGCCUCCAAGUUGACAAGCCCCGUCCACCUGUGCAGAGCUUCCAGUCAGCAGCAUCAUCCCUACUCUUAUUCAUGAAUACUAAGGAUUUCUGGGAAUGUGAGGAAAGCUUUUAAUGUGAGCAAAGAGAUCUAAAUAAACAGAUUAGAGCAACUUAGAAAAAUAGUGGAUUCUGUGGCUUUUCCAAAAACUUAAUUUUCUGAGAGAUAACAUUCCACUCAAAACAAAAAAAAAAUAUUACUAAAAAGGAACAAUAAGAAAACAAAACAAAGCUCUCAGAAAUUAAAAGAAUAGUAAUAGGGUUAGAAAAUCAAUAGGACUGGAAGAUAUAGUUGAAGAAACCCCCCUUAUCCCAAAGUGGAACAAAAUAACAUAUGGGAAAAUAGGAGAGAAAAGAUUAAACAAAGCAGGUCAUUAGAGGAGGUCCAUCAUCUGAAUAGUAGGAGUUCCAGAAAAUGAGAGCAGGAAAAGAACAGUGGGGAAGCAAUUUGCAAUGAAGUAAUUACAUUUUCAGAACUGAAUAACAUUAAGAUUUUGAUCAGAAGGGUUCAGAGUGCCAAGCAGAUAGAAUGAAAACAGAGCAUCACCAUGGAUCACUGGGGGAAAACUACACUUCUAAGACCUUCAAGAAAGAAAAAAGUCUGGUCACAUAAAUAUGGCUAGAAGACCACAGAGCAAUGCCUCUAAAUUCCAAAUGAAAAUGAUACCAGACUGCAUGCUGUUAACUGUCAAUAAUGGGAGAAGGGUAAAGGCACUUUCAGACAUUUAAAAUCUUAAACAUUUUACCUCUCACACACAUUUAGAGAACCUACUCAGGGAGGAUGCCACCAAAAAGAGGGAACAAAUGAAACAAGGGAACAUGCAGGACAAAACCAGGAAACCCAAUAUAAGAGGUAAAGGGAGUCACUAGGAUGGUGACAUGCAGCAAGUGGAAGGAAACUCAUCAUAGUGUAGCGGGGCAAGGGCUCCAUGACUAUGCUGACCUUCUCCGCAAAGUGAAUGAUAGGCACAGGGAAAGUCAAUGGAACCAUCACUUUUAUUG
rnacentral:lncRNA from 1 species